rnacentral:rRNA from 1 species
AUUGAACGCUGGCGGCAGGCCUAACACAUGCAAGUCGAACGAGUGGCGGACGGGUGAGUAAUGUCUGGGCAACUGCCUGAUGGAGGGGGAUAACUACUGGAAACGGUAGCUAAUACCGCAUACCAUCGGAUGUGCCCAGAUGGGAUUAGCUAGUCGGUGGGGUAAAGGCUCACCAAGGCGACGAUCCCUAGCUGGUCUGAGAGGGUGACCGGCCACACUGGAACUGAGACACGGCCCAGACUCCUACGGGAGGCAGCAGUGGGGAAUAUUGCGCAAUGGGCGCAAGCCUGAUGCAGCCAUGCCGCGUGUGUGAAGAAGGCCUUCGGGUUGUAAAGUACUUUCAGCGGGGAGGCGGUACCCAAAGAAGAAGCACCGGCUAACUCCGUGCCAGCAGCCGCGGUAAUUC